UGCGUAGGCGGCUUUUUAAGUCGGAUGUGAAAUCCCUGAGCUUAACUUAGGAAUUGCAUUCGAUACUGGUUGGCUAGAGUAUGGGAGAGGAUGGUAGAAUUCCAGGUGUAGCGGUGAAAUGCGUAGAGAUCUGGAGGAAUACCGAUGGCGAAGGCAGCCAUCUGGCCUAAUACUGACACUGAGGUGCGAAAGCAUGGGGAGCAAACAGGAUUAGAUACCCCCGUA
rnacentral:rRNA from 1 species